ensembl:lncRNA
GCUGAAAGAGGAAGACCAUGCAGUCUUGCCUCAGAGCUAACAACUAGGGACAGAAACAUGAGCCAAAAUAAACUUUCUGGAUCUAUUUCAAAGGUACAACUAAGAGGACUUGGGAUGUCAUGGGUGAAGAAGAGGGAAGGACAUGGAGGAAUCAAAGAGGCCAGUUGAACUCCAGAGACCUGGUGCCUUCAGAAGAGCAGGAUGUACAGGUGGGCUAGUUGCUGAGUAUUUCAGAUGAGAAGGCCCCAAAUCAGGAACAGAGUGAUUGCCUGUCACCGAGAGUGUGAAGAAUAGCUCAAGCAGCACAUCACAAGAAUAGGUGAAAUUCUUUUGAAGUUUCCCAUUAAAAUUCAUGUCUAUUUACAUUCAACUUUAAGAACUGUGCUUCGUGAUUCCCUUGAAGUAUCUGGCAAUGAAUCUGGAACAACAGAGGGAAUAGGCCUUGAGAAGGGAUGAUGUAAAGUAUUGUGAUGCUCCGACCAUUGCAUCUGGCACUAGCACACAAAGGGACUCUUCGUGUAAGGUCUGGGUUCACAAGAGUCGAUGAACUUUUCCCCUCAUCAGUGUUGAUAGGAGGACCAUCAAUGUUUUCUCUCUCUCCCACAGCCCAAUGAAUGUCAGGCCCCCAGCUUGUUAACUGCUGAUUUGGCCAUCAUUAGUCCCUGCUCCAGCUGACGGCCCAUUUAUCUUGCCUUCACACAUCACCAUGCCAACAGAUGAUGGUAUAUAGGUAUUCUUCUAUUACGCCUAAGUAGCACUUUGAAGCAUGUUUCAACUUAAAGUGACACACAAAUCUAACUUCCCUUGUCCUUUAAUUUGACUCAGUGGUAGCACUAUGGGAAUAACAGACAAUGCAUAGCCUAUUAGCAAUUAUAGUGUGAAUCACUGUUACAUUCUGUCAUCUUGGUAUUUAUUUAAUGCAG